rnacentral:rRNA from 1 species
UACGUAGGCAGCGAGCGUUGUUCGGAGUUACUGGGCGUAAAGCGUGCGUAGGCGGUUUUGUAAGUUUGGUGUGAAAUCUCCCGGCUCAACUGGGAGGGUGCGCCGAAAACUGCAAGGCUGGAGUGUGGGAGAGGUAGGCGGAAUUCCUGGUGUAGCGGUGAAAUGCGUAGAUAUCGUUUGGAACGCCAAUGGUGAAAACAGACAGCUGGGAGUGUGCUGACGCUGAGACACGAAAGCCAGGGGAGCGAACGGG